CCUACGGGUGGCAGCAGUGAGGAAUAUUGGGCAAUGGACGAGAGUCUGAACGAGCCAAGUAGCGUGAAGGAUGACGGCCCUAUGGGUUGUAAACUUCGUUUAUAGGGGAAUAAAACAGGGUAUGCAUACCCUCUUGUAUGUACCAUAUGAAUAAGGAUCGGCUAACUCCGUGCCAGCAGCCGCGGUAAUACGGAGGAUCCGAGCGUUAUCCGGAUUUGUUGGGUUUAAAGGGGGCGUAGGUGGGUUAUUAAGUCAGUUGUGAAAGUUUGCGGCUCAACCGUAAAAUUGCAGUUGAAACUGGCAGUCUUGAGUGCAGUAGAGGUGGGCGGAAUGCGUGGUGUAGCGGUGAAAUGCUUAGAUAUCACGAAGAACACCGAUUGCGAAGGCAGCUCACUGGACUGCAACUGACACUGAUGCUCGAAAGUGUGGGUAUCAAACAGGAUUAGAUACCCUAGUAGUC
rnacentral:rRNA from 1 species